GACGUAGGUGGCGAACGUUAUCCGGAAUUAUUGGGCGUAAAGGAUGCGUAGAUGGUGUAGUAAGUUAUCGGUGGCAAAUCGAGGCUCAACCUCGUGGAAGUCGGUAAUACUGCUAUGCUAGAGGAUAGGAGAGGUUAACGGAACUCCCUGUGGAGCGGUGAAAUGCGUAGAUAUAGGGAAGAACACCAAUCAGGCGAAGGCAGUUAACUAUUCUAUUCCUGACAUUGAGGCAUGAAAGCGUGGGUAGCAAACAGG
rnacentral:rRNA from 1 species